rnacentral:rRNA from 1 species
GCAACCCUACGGGACGCAGCAGUGGGGAAUAUUGGGCAAUGGGCGCAAGCCUGACCCAGCAACACCGCGUGAAGGAAGAAGGCUUUCGGGUUGUAACUUCUUUUCUCAGGGACGAAGAAAGUGACGGUACCUGAGGAAUAAGCCACGGCUAACUACGUGCCAGCAGCCGCGGUAAUACGUAGGUGGCAAGCGUUAUCCGGAUUUAUUGGGUGUAAAGGGCGUGUAGGCGGGAGCGCAAGUCAGAUGUGAAAACUCAGGGCUUCACCCUGAGCCUGCAUUUGAAACUGUGUUUCUUGAGUGCCGGG